UUGGUUUUGGUGUUUUUAAUUGUUUCUGCUAAGUAAGAACACAGCAGGUCAGCUCCAGCCAAGACUGUUCUGGUGGUGAACCACUUGAGGGCAGGUCUUUGGCCUUGCAGUGACCUCCUCUGAAGCCCAAAGGUAUCUACAGGGCAGCAACAUGCCUCUGUUGUCCAAGAAUUUAAAGCCUUCUUGAUCCUUCUACGUUUUUCGCCAAGACCUUCUGAGGUCGUGGCCUCCAAGCCUGCUGUGAGACAGGCAGACACUGUGGGAAGUAUGGCUUGGGAGGGGGCCUGGGGAAGGUGACACUAUAGACUUCAACCUCUUCCGCCACAGGCUGGCUCUGCUUCAGCGAAGAUCAGUGUUGAGCCCACUCUCCAGUUUUAAAGUCAGCAGUCACCCAAAGAGCACAUGGAAGACAGCACAAAGGCAGGUUGACUGGUGAGGCUCUCUGGUCCCAGUACACCCAGGCCAGUGUCCUUCAAGAGCAGCACUGGGGUGGUCCAGGCUGUGCUGCUCAGUUGUGAGCGUGUUCAGGGCCCUCCGUCUGUCCUCUGGGCUUCACAGAGCCUCAUCUUACUGCUCUUUUGCUGUGUUUUGAUUCUACCUAUAAAGCUGUCAAUGCCCAGCCCUGGAUGCCUUUCAGAUUUCAUAUCUUCCUUAAAUUUCAUAUCUUCCUAGAUGCCUUCUGAAAUAACCUACCAGCUAAUGCAAAAAUACAGCCUAAUUCUGUGUGAAUCAGAGCAGGAGAUGAGGGAGAGGGCCGGGGGUUUAGGGAACCCUCUACACUCCCACCACAUACACCCCCCAAACUGCCUUGUCUGUGACUACCAAGCACAGUGUGCUCCUUCUGGUGGGACUGACAGCUGGCCUGGUCUGGAUGAACACCACACUGGGGGUCGGGACCCUGGACUGAACAGUCACAGUCAAGGUGCCUCAUUCCCUGACUGGAAACAUUCUAAGUAUGGAAGGGAAGGGAGCCCGAUCUGGAGCACAGGUGUGGAUCCAAAUCCCAUAACACAUUGCACACACGCCCUGUGAGGAGGUCAGGAGGGCCUCAGCACUCCAUCCCCAGGGAGCCUUUCACUAGGACCACGGCCCAAAAGGCUCAGGCUGGCACCAAGAGUAGAACAGCCACCAUAAAUCUCCCCACCUCCAGGCAGGAAGUGAGAAGUGUGAACAGAAACACUGGAGCUCGGUCUUCAUCGUCCUGAGGCUCAGGUUCUCCAGGACCAAGGUUGUCUUGAUGGCCCAAGCUUCUGGGCCAAGAUAUUACCUUAGCUGCUGGCCCCGCCUAACCCUGCUCUGGAGACAGGGCUGUCAGAGGUUGGGGUUUCCCUGACUUGGCAAAUUCUGUUUUUCAUCUCUAGCUAAUCACCAGGUCCUCAGGGGCCAGAUGCACAGCCCCAAGCUCAAACUGUCUGUGCCACAGGGCACUUCAUGCCUCCCUCUUCAGCCCCUCUGGACCUGCAGACUCUCCAGGUACAGGAACUGCCCAAAGCAUGAUGAAAAGAGGAAGGGGCCAGCUCUCACCUCGUGGGGACCACUGCUUCCCACAUCCUAGAGUGGCCAAGGGGCAGAGAGGAUGUGUCAGUUUUCUUUGCCUCCAUAUGGGCACUCCUAGCAGGCUACUCUGUACAUGGUACAGUUUCUUAAAAAGUGUCCUUGGCUACUUGAAGCAACAGAGAUGUCCACAACAGCUCUCUGACCUGCCAGUGGGCCAGGAUGAUCCCGAUCCUCUGCAGCCCCAGACCAUGUGACCCUCUCCUCCAGGUGGGAACAGGGAGGACAGACUGCAGAAAGGAGGGUCCUUUAUUAGAUAUCAUGAGCAGUCCAAAAGCACUCAGGUCAACCACAUCAUCGCGAGGAAGAAGUGCCUUCUGGUACAUGAUGCUGGAUCCAAGAGGAGGGUGGGUGUUCCAGGAACCAGAGUGCAGAUGCUGGAGGGUACUGCUUUCCUUGCCCCCUUGCCGGUGCCAUGUCACUGCCACAUGGUAGCUUGAGACCCAGAGGCCUGACCCUGAAGACAGCUGGCAGAGAGGCAAAACGACUGCUAUAAAGAAGUCUUCAGACACUCCAACAGCUCAGCAGGAUGCACACGUGCCCACAGCCACUGUGAAGCAGCCAUCACCACCUGGUAAGGAGGACACACCUCAUGGCAUCUUCAGGGUGCAGGAGGCAGGCGCU
rnacentral:lncRNA from 1 species